rnacentral:rRNA from 1 species
UACAGAGGUCUCAAGCGUUGUUCGGAUUCAUUGGGCGUAAAGGGUGCGUAGGUGGCGCGGUAAGUCGGGUGUGAAAUCUCGGAGCUUAACUCCGAAAUUGCAUUCGAUACUGCCGUGCUCGAGGACUGGAGAGGAGACUGGAAUUCAUGGUGUAGCAGUGAAAUGCGUAGAGAUCAUGAGGAAGACCAGUGGCGAAGGCGGGUCUCUGGGCCGAUACUGACGCUGAGGAGCGAAAGCGUGGGGAGCGAACAGG